AUUCUUUGUGAUGUAUCUCAUCAACAAAGAUGAAACAGAGCACACAGGCCAGGAGUCUUACGUAUGGAAGAUGUACCAGGAGCGCUGCUGGGAGUUUUUCCCUGCUGGAGACUGUUUCCGGAAGCAGUACGAGGAUCAGCUGAACUGACCUGUUGCUCAGACUCUUCCUUCAGACUGUAACCUCUGAAGGCCCUCGCCUCCUCAAACCUUUCUUACUGCGCUCCACGGAGCCCCUGUUCUACUGACGAAGGGUUCUACUCUGACAUUCUGAUAGGAUCUACUCUACAGGACCCCCCCAAGCCUUUCUCACAGCUCUUCCUCAUCCAGACACUCAACUCGCCAUCUCUGCCCCAACACCCAGCACACUUUUUUUGGAAUGCUUUGAACUCUGACGUUGUACAUAGAAAAUAUUAGAGUAUAUGCUGUACAGAAUGUGACUGGUAGCACGUCAAGGAUUAUGGCUUGAUCUUGUUCUACAUUCACAGUGUCAAGCAAAAAAUACUAAGGAAUAAGGAGCACGAGUAAAAAGAAGGACCAAGGGACAGAGGAGAGUGGGGGACGAUUGUUCCUGAAGGACAAUUAUUGACAAACAGAGAGCAGGCAUUAGUAUGACGAGUUUAUCACUAAUGUGUAAAAUGCACGUUGCAUGUAGGGACAGGGGGUGGACGUUAAAAAAGGAACACCUGUACAACCCUGCUGUAAUCCAACACAACAGCUCUGCAAUAAUCACAACUUUGAGGAGAGUGUGUGUCCACCUUAGUCUUAGAGGUGAGUGCUUUGAUUCAACUCUGAAGUGUUUUUAGUUUGUGCUACAUGUCAGGUAGGGAGAAUAAGGUCUGGAAUCCAAACACCAUCAAACUCAAAGUCAAAGUCUCCACAAUGACUGCACAGUGGAAUCUACACCUCCGUCAGCACCCCCCGCACAUCCUGGUCCUCCUCACAGGGCCACUGUACUGGAUUUAAGUAAAGUAAAGAAGCGCCCCUCCACUCAGUGUUUACAUCGCAAGCUACGUAAUCAACAGUCCAUUUGUCCAGUGGAGCUGAAACUCAGCAACAAGUCACAAUCCUCCUCAGCAACAAGUCACAAUCCUCCUCAGCAACAAGUCACAAUCCUCCUCAGCAGCAAGUCACAAUCCUCCUCAGCAACAAGUCACAAUCCUCCUCAGCAACAAGUCACAAUCCUCCUCAGCAGCAAGUCACAAUCCUCCUCAGCAACAAGUCACAAUCCUCCUCAGCAGCAAGUCACAAUCCUCCUCAGCAAGUUAUCUGCAUCUUUUUUUAAAGAUCACAGAAAUAAAUCAAUGUCACCAAAUCUGAGCUUGCAAAAGUAGAUGUUUGCCUUGGUAUAAGCCUGGACUUAGAAAGUGUGUCCGUCCAACCAUUAUCACACCUGACACCCCCACAAGCCUUUGGUGUCACUGCUGGUCAAGGCUCAACAGCUGAUACAUGUUCAGCAUGUGUUCUGUUUGUUAUUGAUCACAAAGCCUCUGCGUGUGACCAGAGGCGCCUCUUUUUCAAUCUAUUCUACAUAAUUAGGGCUUGCUCCGUACAUUUAGUAAUCAAAUUAUGGUUAGGUUUUAUAAAAAGCAAUAACAAAGCAGCAGGGGGGGGGGGAGUUAUGCGAGUUAUGCAAGCUCCAGGAGACAGAGGAAUGUCAAAGAGCUUCAAGGAAGUGAUUGUAAAGACUGAGGAGUCCACAUGGUGUUCAUGGGGAGUGGACUCACUGCAAACGGGAAAUUAUUCAACCUCUCAAAGAUUCAACUCAGCAUUCACAUGUAUAUAGGCUGCCAUACAAGGUGCACCUGCUCUCACACACACACACACACACACACACACACACACACACACACACACACACACACACACACACACACACACACACACACACACACACACACAAUGGUGGCCAUCAGGAGCAAUCUGGUAUCUUGCCCAAGGAAGCUUCAACAUGUUUACAUGGAAUCUAACAACACAUUCAGAUCAUGUAAUGCAGUGCAAAGAGAGGUGUUACAAUUGAAACAUUUAAAUCCUGUUUUAUUAUACCAGUCUGUCAGAUGACAUUUUAAUAGUCAUGCAAAGUUCUGGAUUUUAGAGACACUCACAGUUGCCAGUUAAUCAGCUAUAGCUAGCUAAAUGAAGGCGUUUAAUCAGCUCGUACAAAACACUUUUUGUUAAAGAGUUUUAGAGGUGUUGAUUCAACUGUAUCAUUUUGGAGACAGACGUUUCUGUUGCUGCUUUUGGUGUUUGUAAUAUUUAAUGACUGCGAAUAAUGAAUAUAAAUGAGUAUGAUUAAAUAUUAGAAGCACCUCUAACUGAGUUACAAUACGUGUUUGGUCUGCCGGGGAACAGUUUACAUUAUUUGUGAUGCUGCCAUUACGACCACUUUACAGAUGGACUCAUCCUCAAGGCUUGGUUUUGUUUUAUUGCAGACACACAAACUGUAUACAUCCUGUCACGAGCAAUAUAGGAAUCAACAUGGAGACAUAACCCUCAUACAGGAACACGUGUUGGAUUUUAUGCUUUUUUUUCAACUUUGUAUUUUAAUUGUUCCACCCCUCGAUGCAAAUCAGCAAAGAUUACUGAUAGAGUUUAAGUAGAAGCUUCCAUGAGAAACAUUUCAUUACUACAACAUGUAACCCUAUAGGAGUUGGGUGUGCCAUGAAUGAUAUGAUUAUAAUGAUCCUUUCUAUUGAUGUUCACUGAAGCAUUCCUCUGAUUGGCAGUGUGUUAAUUGAACGAAUGCUGUCCUGGAAACAUUUGAAAUCAGAAUGGUUUGUGGGAUUUGUUCGUUUUUGUGGUGAUGAUCUUAUGCAAUACAGCAAAGAGAGUUACUCUUUUUGUUUAGACAUUCUCCAAGAAUAUCUCAGAAAAAAUGCCAUUGCAUGUUUAUUAUGCGGGUUUGAUAAAAAAAAGUAUUACAUAGAAACUAAAUCUAUGUCACCCAUAAAUUGUUUAAUAUAUAUAAUAUAUUAUUUAAGAUGAAUUAAGAUGUUGGUAUUAUUGUAUUUAAGUGUUGUGGGCUUCAUUGUAACUCUUCUAGUCCUUUACCACAAGUGCAUCCCAAAAAGGAAGGGGCUUCUGCUUUCUGUUGGUCUCUGAGAGGAAGCUUUAGUAUGCUUUCAUUCAGGCUCAAGCAAUAGCCACAGUGAGUGUAUGGGGAGACUGACCAUUGUACAUUGCAAACAAAGGCAAAACAAAUAAAGCUUGCUUAACUUUGUCUCAAUUUAAAAUAAAAUUAUUUAUUCAUUUUUUAUCUAUGUAUUUUAUUUGCUAAACAAACAAUGUUGUGGAGAUAAACCUGAAGUUGACCACUUAAUGUUAAAGUUGCAAUAUAUAAACAUUACAAUGUGGCUCUUUCCACAUAACCAUGUCAUGCUGCCUGACACUCAUCCUCCUUCAGAUCUAUCCCACGGUCGGUGGUCCUACUUUGUAAACCUUUUGAGAAUGUUACAUUUCCCCGGGCUACGCAUCAUAUCUACACUUGGUUAAAAGUCACAAAUUAGGAUCAUGUUUCUAUAAUUGCUAAACUAUACAUUUUGAAAACACAGCAUUAUUAUUAUAACGUGAAAUUAUUCCAUGGACAGAGCCAGCUCUGUGAUUGGCUGCCUACUCAUUCAGACCCAAGCAACAGCCAAUCACAGAGCUCUGCCUGACCUGUCACAAUACAACUUUGCUAAGGGCAUUUUUACAUCAGAAUGGAUAUAAUUCCAUGUUGUAUUCAUUAUUAAAAGCAGUUUAAAACGGUGUUAUUUAAAUGUAAGAUAUUUUGGUUGUAUUUAUUAAUAAUAUUUAUUUCAUAAUGACUGAUUAAAUAUUGACUAUAUUGGCUCUAUAAUAAGUGAUCUACAGUAUGAUGCAGUGAGCGACAUACAGUAAGCUAGCUCAUGUUUUUGCUGUGACAAAUGUCGGCUCACCACAGCUUAUUAUGUCCUAAUAAGAGCACUGUGAAAACAUGAAUGGAUCUGAUCUGCUGGAGAGCCAUCUCUACUGAUCGCACCUUUAAAGAUGUGUGAGGAUGCAUGAGUGCUAUUGUUUAGCACCGAUGACUCUGAACAGUGUUACAAUUGUAACAGACAUGUGUGUAUAUACAUCAAGUAUAUAGCAUUGCGUUCAUUAUGCCAUACUGAUGUCAUGCCUAUACUUUUUAGUUUUUAUUUUCAUUGCAAUGCAACAUCAGAGAGUAUGCCAUUUCUGAGUGGUAUUUUGCUAAUGUAAAAAUAAACAUUUUCCAUAUCGA